AAAAACAAAACAAACAAACAAGAGUAUUACCUUCAUGGAGGUAAUUUCCUGUUCUCUAUCUCUAUUUACAGAUUUUGAUGAUUUGGCUCCCUGAUCUUCAACCACAAUAAAAAUUUAAAGAUCCUACAGGGCACUGAUUCAAGCACUGAUUAUUCACAGCAACAUAUAAUAGACUUUCCUCACCCAUAGCUUCAUUUUCUAUGGUUUUACCCAUCAGUGUUCAACCGUGGUCUGAAAAUAUGAAAUGGGAAAUGACGGAAGUGAACAAUUUAUGAGUUUGAGAUUACACAGCAUUCUGAGUGAUGUGAUGAAAUCUCAUGUCAUGCCAUCCUGCUCUACCUGCCUGGGACAUGAAUCAUCCCUUUGUCCAGCAUCUCCAUGCCAUGUACUUGACCCCUGUGAGUCACUAGCCUUCUGGAUAAUCAGAUGGACUGUGGAGGACCUGCUCAUGAUGCUUGUGCGCAGGUGUCCCUUACAUAGUAACCUAAUGCUUCAUCACAGUGCCUCGUCAUUCACCUCACUGCAUCUCAUCACGCAGGCACUGUGACACCUAACAUUGUCACCACAGGAAAGGGGAAGGAAGGCCGUCAGCACGGACCACUGAAAGGUGAAUGGAGGCUCUGUACACCAAGCUCGCUGGCCGUUACCAAGGGAAGCAUGCUUCCAGACGUCUCCUCCAGUACAUCAUGGCCUGACUGAGACUUCAGGGCCCAGAACAGAAAACCAAGUAACUGUUGAAUGAACAGAAGAGUCACUAUGGAGCUAUUGCUGAUAAUUUUGUUUUCAUGCACAGAGAAGACUUGGCAGUGUUCAAGGAGCUUUGAAUUAUUUUAUCUCAUUGGAUUUUUAGCUAGGGCUAUUAUCUCUAUUUUCAGAAAAGAAAUUUCAAGAUCUAAAAAUAAGUUCCUUCCUUCCUUCCUUCCUUCCUUCCUUCCUUCCUUCCCUCCUUCCCUCCUUCCCUCCUUCCCUCCCUCAUCUCUUCCUCUCCCCUUAAGAUAACCAGUAAUUGGGUUCUUUACAUACAUGUGCUGAUGUCACACAGCCUGCGUCCGAUUCUGACUUUGUGUUAAUUUUUUAAGUGAAGGACUUGGGCAAAUUACAUAACUUCUGAAACUUCAGUUUAUUUGCCUACAGAUGAGGAUUACUGGUAGUAUUUGGAAGAUGUUAAAAGCAUGAAAGCAAACAUAUGUGAGUAGCAUAGAGUAAGCUCUUAAUAUAUGUUAGUUGCUGAUUCUUAUCAUUGUUGAUUACUACUCAGUCACCACACGACUAUCACCACUAUAAUGUCACCACUGUCCCACUACAUUGUCACCAUCACUUCACCACAAUGACCACCAUUAGGUCAUCACCAGCAGCACCACCACUAGCACCCAUUCACUAUGACAUCAGCACCACUGCCAUGUUACCACCCCAGUAUCAUCACCCCCCACCAUCAUAAUCAUAGCAUUCCCACUAUCACUUCCCACUACCAUAUCACACCAUUACACCAUCAUCAUCCUCACCAUCACUCCGCCAAUGGUGUCAGGCAUUGCUUAGGCACUGUGCUAUUCCAGGUAGUGGCUGUACUAUGGUGUAUAGCUACCUGUCCCUGCAAAGCCUCACGUGCUUAGAGGCAGGGUUUUUGGAUGGUGAUUGGAUCACAGAGGGUUUAUAGCUUACUGGCUGUUAACAGGUAGGGUUUGGUUGGAAGAGCUGAGUCCAGGUGAGUCACUGGGGGUGUGGCCUGGAAGACUGCAUCUCCCUGCUCAGCUCCUCCCUUUGUGUGCUGCUUCCUGGCCACCGUGAUGGGAGCCGCUUUCCUCCACCAGGCCUCUGUGCCAUUCUGUUUCUUUUUGGGAACCUGUCGACUAUGGAUUGAAACAUGAGUCAAGUAAACCUCUCCUCCUUUAAAUUGUGGGGGCCCAGGAUUGUGUCUCAGAGAUGGCAAAGUGACUAAGACAAGGUGCCUGAGCUAUGACCCACACAUUAUGCUAAUCGCCUUACAUAUACUUAAUUCUUAUGGCAACUCAUACAGCUAGAAGAUAGGAGAACCAUGAUUGCAACCCAUGUCUGUCUGAUUAUAACACUGUCGAUGUUAAUUACCAUCCUGAACUCACAUGAUCUAGUGAGUAAAAAAGUCAUCCAUGCAGCUAUUAUGGUGUAGUGUGAUAACUGACAAGAUCAGGAAGGUGUUAUGGAAUUAGCCAAGAAGGCCCCUGACCAGACUGGGGGAUGGAGGAUUGGUUAAGGAGGCUUCUUGGUGAAUGCAUCAGGAGGUAAACCCUAGAGAAUGCGACAGAGUUCACUGAGGCUUCCUAACUAGCAAAUGGCAGAGCAAAGUCUGGACUCUGACUGCUGGUUCACUCCGCUGCUCAUCUUUUGUAAACUCACAGUCUGGAACAUGGAAUUCCUCUCUAGUCCUUGAUCUUUAGCUGCUCCUAAAGACUCUGCUUUUAACGAAAUGAUGAUUUCAUCCUACAGUGAAUGAAGACUGCUUUGCUAAGGGCUGCUAGCUGCUGUCAAGGCAUUCUCAUGGGAUGCCACUUACUACAGUGGCAGUAAGUCCAUGACCACGGAGUGAUGACUCCUUCCUUGAAACUCCUUCAAAAGGAAGGAAGCACCGUGGUCCGGGCCGAUUCCACAGCUGCUGGGUAAUGCACAGGAAGAGAGCCUUUGGAUGUCUCCCAGGAUGAAUGAGUGGAGAUUCUAGGGAAGGCAUAAAAUUUGGACUUCCAGAGGUUGUAUGUCUUGGAAUUGGAAAAAUGGGGUUAUUCUCUGGUUACUCUUCUCUUUGGUUAAAGCUGCUUCCUGAAUAUCAAGGCUUUGGAGUAGAUACUUCAGCUGAACCAUAGGGUAGAAAAGGCUCAGGCUCAAGACUUAUUUCCCAGGAGAAGGCUCAGGAUGACUCAGAAGGAUAGAACAGGCUGGGCUGGAGAGAAACAGGUACUAGGGAUCACUUCAAUCGCCUGACAUUGAAGUUACAAGCUUAAUGGACACAGGUCUGGGUAUCUGCCAAAUACUUUAGUGGUGAGAUUUUCUUCUCUUACAUGAGAACUAGAGCUGUCAGAGGACAACAGUUGUUGUCCUCUUUUUUUUUUUUUUC